AACAGAGGGUGCAAGCGUUAUCCGGAUUCACUGGGUUUAAAGGGUGCGUAGGUGGGUAAGUAAGUCCGUGGUGAAAUCUCUGAGCUUAACUCAGAAACUGCCGUGGAUACUAUUUGCCUUGAAUAUUGUGGAGGUGAGCGGAAUAUGUCAUGUAGCGGUGAAAUGCUUAGAUAUGACAUAGAACACCAAUUGCGAAGGCAGCUCACUACACAAUCAUUGACGCUGAGGCACGAAAGCGUGGGGAUCAAACAGG
rnacentral:rRNA from 1 species